GAUGAAGAACGCAGCGAAAUGCGAUAAGUAAUGUGAAUUGCAGAAUUCAGUGAAUCAUCGAAUCUUUGAACGCACAUUGCGCCCCCUGGAAUUCCGGGGGGCAUGCCUGUUCGAGCGUCUCAGGGACGAACCCUCGCGCGGGUGUACGCGCGGUCGUGGCUGCGGUGGCGUGCCCGAGGCGGCGGCCACCGCGCGGGAAUCCAUGGGCGGACGCCUGCCGCGUGGCCGAGCGUGAUAUGACGCAUUGGCGCUCGCACGCGGCGAGGCUGCCAGCCCUGGCCCGUCUGUCGGGCGGGGGAGAGCAAGACACGUGAACUCCUCGAAUCAGGUAGGGAUACCCGCUGAACUUAAGCAUAUCAAUAAGCGGAGGA
rnacentral:misc_RNA from 1 species